rnacentral:lncRNA from 1 species
UUGGUGUCAUGUUUUGGUUAUGUUUGUGUUCGAUCGUACAAUAUUGACGACUCUAUAGUUGCUCGCCAACAUGGUGGGAUCGUGUUAUUACUUGUGACUCUUUGCGUCUUAUUUGUGGAUUGCAUUUGUUCUUUGGUGUCUAUUGUUUGAUCGUACAACAUUUUGAAAGUCGACAGUUAUCCGCCUUCAUGGUGUGAUCUUGUUAUUUAGAUAUGUUAGAGCCUUAAAUUUGAAUUGCAUUUGUUUCAUUGUUUUCUUUUGUCUUAUAUUAAUUGUCGAUCCUGAAACAUCUUUCAAUUGUCCGCCAACAUGAUGUGAUAUUUUUAUCUUUGAUCGCAGAUAUUAUUCAUAAAAUUUAAUAUUUC